rnacentral:rRNA from 1 species
GACGAACGCUGGCGGCGUGCUUAACACAUGCAAGUCGAACGAUGAAGCGGUGCUUGCACCGUGGAUUAGUGGCGAACGGGUGAGUAAUACGUGAGUGACCUACCUUUGACUCUGGGAUAAGCCUGGGAAACUGGGUCUAAUACCGGAUACGACCAAUCCCUGCACGGGGUGUUGGUGGAAAGCGUUAUGGGGUGGUUUUAGAUGGGCUCACGGCCUAUCAGCUUGUUGGUGAGGUAAUGGCUUACCAAGGCGACGACGGGUAGCCGGCCUGAGAGGGUGACCGGCCACACUGGGACUGAGACACGGCCCAGACUCCUACGGGAGGCAGCAGUGGGGAAUAUUGCACAAUGGGCGGAAGCCUGAUGCAGCGACGCCGCGUGAGGGAUGACGGCCUUCGGGUUGUAAACCUCUGUUAGCAGCGAAGAAGCGAAAGUGACGGUAGGUGCAGAGAAAGCGCCGGCUAACUACGUG